rnacentral:rRNA from 1 species
GAUGAACGCUGGCGGCGUGCCUAAUACAUGCAAGUCGAGCGAACGGACGAGAAGCUUGCUUUUCUGAUGUUAGCGGAGCACGGGUGAGUAACACGUGGAAAACCUACCUAUAAGACUGGGAUAACCUCGGGAAACCGGAGCUAAUACCGGAUAAUAUUUUGAACCGCAUGGUUCAAAAGUGAAAGACGGUCUUGCUGUAACUUCUAGAUGGAUCUGCGCUGCAUUAGCUAGUUGUGACGGUAACGGCUUACCAAGGCAACGAUGCAUAGCCGACGGGAGAGAGGGAUAGCCGGCACUGGAGGGGGGACAGGGUCCAGACGCCUGCGGGAGGCAGCAGUAGGGUACCGGCCGCAAUGGGCGAGAGCCUGGCGGAGCAGCGGGGCGUGAGUGAUAGAGGUCUUGGGAGCGUGAAACUCUGUUAUGAGUUAAAAACAGAUGUGUAAGUAGCUGUGCACAGCGUGACGGUAACUAAUCAGAAAGCCACGGCUAACUACGUG